GAUGAACGCUGGCGGCGUGCCUAAUACAUGCAAGUCGAGCGAAUGGAUUAAGAGCUUGCUCUUAUGAAGUUAGCGGCGGACGGGUGAGUAACACGUGGGUAACCUGCCUAUAAGACUGGGAUAACUCCGGGAAACCGGGGCUAAUACCGGAUAACAUUUUGAACCGCAUGGUUCGAAAUUGACAGGCGGCUUCGGCUGUCACUUAUGGAUGGACCCGCGUCGCAUUAGCUAGUUGGUGAGGUAACGGCUCACCAAGGCAACGGUGCGUAGCCGACCUGAGAGGGUGAUCGGCCACACUGGGACUGAGACACGGCCCAGACUCCUACGGGAGGCAGCAGUAGGGAAUCUUCCGCAAUGGACGAAAGUCUGACGGAGCAACGCCGCGUGAGUGAUGAAGGCUUUCGGGUCGUAAAACUCUGUUGUUAGGGAAGAACAAGUGCUAGUUGAAUAAGCUGGCACCUUGACGGUACCUAACCAGAAAGCCACGGCUAACUACGUGCCAGCAGCCGCGGUAA
rnacentral:rRNA from 1 species